GGUCAAUGAUGAGCUGGCAUGUAUUCUGAAUCAAAAGUUGAUCAUUAAUACUUUAGCUCUAGAAUUACUCUGAGACCUG
ensembl:snoRNA